UGGCGGCAGGCCUAACACAUGCAAGUCGAGCGGAUGAGAGGAGCUUGCUCCUGGAUUCAGCGGCGGACGGGUGAGUAAUGCCUAGGAAUCUGCCUGGUAGUGGGGGACAACGUUUCGAAAGGAACGCUAAUACCGCAUACGUCCUACGGGAGAAAGCAGGGGACCUUCGGGCCUUGCGCUAUCAGAUGAGCCUAGGUCGGAUUAGCUAGUUGGUGAGGUAAUGGCUCACCAAGGCGACGAUCCGUAACUGGUCUGAGAGGAUGAUCAGUCACACUGGAACUGAGACACGGUCCAGACUCCUACGGGAGGCAGCAGUGGGGAAUAUUGGACAAUGGGCGAAAGCCUGAUCCAGCCAUGCCGCGUGUGUGAAGAAGGUCUUCGGAUUGUAAAGCACUUUAAGUUGGGAGGAAGGGUUGUAGAUUAAUACUCUGCUGUUUUGACGUUACCGACAGAAUAAGCACCGGCUAACUCUGUGCCAGCAGCCGCGGUAAUACAGAGGGUGCAAGCGUUAAUCGGAAUUACUGGGCGUAAAGCGCGCGUAGGUGGUUUGUUAAGUUGGAUGUGAAAUCCCCGGGCUCAACCUGGGAACUGCAUCCAAAACUGGCAAGCUAGAGUAUGGUAGAGGGUGGUGGAAUUUCCUGUGUAGCGGUGAAAUGCGUAGAUAUAGGAAGGAACACCAGUGGCGAAGGCGACCACCUGGACUGAUACUGACACUGAGGUGCGAAAGCGUGGGGAGCAAACAGGAUUAGAUACCCUGGUAGUCCACGCCGUAAACGAUGUCAACUAGCCGUUGGGAGCCUUGAGCUCUUAGUGGCGCAGCUAACGCAUUAAGUUGACCGCCUGGGGAGUACGGCCGCAAGGUUAAAACUCAAAUGAAUUGACGGGGGCCCGCACAAG
rnacentral:rRNA from 1 species